CUUAGAUGUGGCUUGGAUAACUGGCCUCUAGACCAUCCUCAGUGCCUCCUGCACCAUGGCUCCUUCUCUCUUCACUGUUAAGGAGCAAGAAAAGCACCGCUGGACAUAACACUUCCCACUCUAAAUUUCUCCACCUGUGUCUCAGGUAAUGCUUCUCCAGGAGUGAGGGCUAGUAUGGGGCACCAACAGCGGAGAUAAGAGCAUCAUAUGGAGUUCCAGAGAACAGCUGCACAACCAGACACAUUGUUCUCAAGCAAGAGUCCUACAACCCCCAUACCCAAAGUCCAUGGCCAUGUUUCAGUGCUGUAAGAGGUACUGGAAACCAAAGAGCACACCUUUUCUUGGAGGGAGAAGGAGUCGACUUUUCUUGAUAUUGUACGAGAACACCACUUACUGAUCUUCUUCCGCAUGCUCUGCUCCUCCUUCCCUGCUGGGGACGUUCCUCCACUUUCGCUGCUCCCCGAUUUGGAAAGAUCCUUCAAGCCCUUCCCCAUUUGCCACUUCUUCCACAGCAUGUUCCCUGACGGAGUGUGAGGACAGACAUGGAUACUGAUGAGGAAACAGAAGGCAAGCUGAGGACAAAGCAGAACCUGACACCCCACAACCUACCCCCC